AUGUCAGUUCAUCCAGUCUGUUUUAACUACCAACCCCAAACCUCAUGUCAGUUCAUCCAGUCUGUUUUAACUACCAACCCAAACCUCAUGUCUGUUCAUCCAGUCUGUUUUGCUGUUACAGAUCAACUUGUUUACAUUUCGUUUUUGAGGUUUAUUCUGAUUUAUGGAAAGAGGGGAAAAUGUGACAAUGUCAUGGAUUUAGGUAGUCUUUUGAUAAUCUAUGACAUGUCAAUCACUGUCUUCUUAGGGAUAUAGUUAUGAUCUACCUACAAGAUGCAAUGUGAUAUUAUAGAUGGAAUGUGGAAAUUGAUUGAUGUGCUUUGAUUGGUCAAGAUGAGUUCAUGAUGAUGAGGGUGUCAUGGGUUGAAAGAGGAAUGGCUGUUGCCCUGGAGAUGGAGGAGAGUGAAGUUGCCAUUAGACGCUGACCCUGGGUCAGUUUAACAUUUCCCCCACUUAUGGUUAAUACUAGGAAUGGGGGAAGGGAAGCUGAUCCUACAUCAGUAUCCUGUACCUAGGGGAAUCUUCACCUUCAUGGGAGCUGUUGCCCAUUGGAUGUACUGCCUCCUCCCUUCUUCUGCUUUUCACAACUAGUGUAGAAACAAACCUGCUGUCCCUCCUGCUCGGCAAGACCACCGCCACGCCCCGCCUCCACAACGCUAAGCCCCGCCUACCCCUUUUCCUCUGCUUAGCAUAUAAAGUGGAACACAGUCAGUGUGUACUGUGAAGCCUACCGCAAUCCUUAUCAGAAUGUCAAGAAUAAAAAUAUAUAUUAAACUCUACAUUUUUAAUAACCCCAUCUGGUCCGUGUGGUUCUAUGUGACUGUGUGCGUGCGUGUGUGCGUCCGUGUGUGUGUGUGUGUCUCUGUGUGUGUGUGGUGCGUGUCUGUGUGUGUGUGUGCGCGUGUGUCUCUGUGUGUGUUUCUGUGUGUCUGUGUGCGUCUGUGUGUGUGUCUGUGUUUGUGUGUGUUGUAUACCCUGGAUACUGUUGUAUGUUGAUUCUCCAGUAGAGGACAGCCUUGCUUCAGAUACCACUAAACAUCCUGCGAACUCCACUUCCUAUUAAACAUGUGUUGUCUCUGAGCUUCCUAGUCAAUCAGCUAUUGGUCAGUAUAUCCCCCGUAGCUGUCUCUAUCAGAACCUCAGUCAGGUUCUGACAUCAUCAGGUUCAACCCAGAUCCAUCUUCUUAUUUUCUACACGUUAAUGUCAGAGAGAGAACAGGUAUUUUCUACACGUUAAUGUCAGAGAGAGAACAGGUAUUUUCUACAUGUUAAUGUCAGAGAGAGAACAGGUAUUUUCUACAUGUUAAUGUCAGAGAGAGAACAGGUAUUUUCUACAUGUUAAUGUCAGAGAGAGAACAGGUAUUUUCUACAUGUUAAUGUCAGAGAGAACAGGUAUUUUCUACAUGUUAAUGUCAGAGAGAGAACAGGUAUUUUCUACAUGUUAAUGUCAGUGUCACGGUUGUCGUCGGGAAUGGAGGACCAAAACGCAGCAGGAAUGUGGAUGCUCAUCUUGAUAUUUAUUUGAAAUCAAAAUGAACACCAAAAUAACAAAACAACGAACUCACGAACAACAAAACAGUCUUGUAAGGCUCACACAGGCAAAACAAGAAACAAUCUCCCACAAACACUAAACCAAACAAUUACCCAUAUAUAGGAUUCUCAAUCAGAGGCAACGAGAAACACCUGCCUCCAAUUGAGAGUCCAGCACCCAAACCUAAACAUAGAAAACCUAAUCUAGACAACAUGCAGAAAUACAACCUAGAACAACUAACCUAGAACAUACACCCAAAACCCAGGAACACAUAAAUCAAACACCCCUCUCUAACACACACAAAACCACCACCAUACAAAACAAACAUCCCUCUGCCACGUCCUGACCAAAAUACUAAACAACUACUCCCUCUGCUGGUCAGGACGUGACAGUCAGAGAGAACAGGUAUUUUCUACACGUUAAUGUCAGAGAGAGAACAAGUAUUUUCUACAUGUUAAUGUCAGAGAGAGAACAGGUAUUUUCUACAUGUUAAUGUCAGAGAGAACAGGUAUUUUCUACAUGUUAAUGUCAGAGAGAGAACAGGUAUUUUCUACAUGUUAAUGUCAGAGAGAGAACAGGUAUUUUCUACAUGUUAAUGUCAGAGAGAGAACAGGUAUUUUCUACAUGUUAAUGUCAGAGAGAGAACAGGUAUUUUC
rnacentral:lncRNA from 8 species